UACGGAGGGGGCUAGCGUUGUUCGGAAUUACUGGGCGUAAAGCGCACGUAGGCGGCUUUGCAAGUUAGAGGUGAAAGCCCAGGGCUUAACCCUGGAAUUGCCUUUAAAACUGCAUCGCUAGAAUUGUGGAGAGGUAAGUGGAAUUCCGAGUGUAGAGGUGAAAUUCGUAGAUAUUCGGAAGAACACCAGUGGCGAAGGCGACUUACUGGACACAUAUUGACGCUGAGACACGAAAGCGUGGGUAGCAAACAGG
rnacentral:rRNA from 1 species